CUGAGUACGGCGGAACACGUGAAAUUCCGUCGGAAUCCGGGAGGACCAUCUCCCAAGGCUAAAUACUCCCUAGUGACCGAUAGUGAACCAGUACCGUGAGGGAAAGGUGAAAAGCACCCCGGAAGGGGAGUGAAACAGUUCCUGAAACCGUGUGCCUACAAGUAGUUAGAGCCCGUUAAUGGGUGAUAGCGUGCCUUUUGUAGAAUGAACCGGCGAGUUACGAUUUGUUGCAAGGUUAAGCGGAAAAAGCGGAGCCGUAGCGAAAGCGAGUCUGAAUAGGGCGCAUAAGUAACAGGUCGUAGACCCGAAACCAGGUGAUCUACCCAUGUCCAGGAUGAAGGUAAGGUAAUACUUACUGGAGGUCCGAACCCACGCACGUUGAAAAGUGCGGGGAUGAGGUGUGGGUAGCGGAGAAAUUCCAAUCGAACUUGGAGAUAGCUGGUUCUCUCCGAAAUAGCUUUAGGGCUAGCCUCGAGGUAAAGAGUCAUGGAGGUAGAGCACUGUUUGGACUAGGGGCCCUUCUCGGGUUACCGAAUUCAGAUAAACUCCGAAUGCCAUGUACUUAUACUCGGGAGUCAGACUGCGAGUGAUAAGAUCCGUAGUCGAAAGGGAAACAGCCCAGACCACCAGUUAAGGUCCCCAAAUAUAUGUUAAGUGGAAAAGGAUGUGGGGUUGCUUAGACAACCAGGAUGUUGGCUUAGAAGCAGCCACCAUUGAAAGAGUGCGUAAUAGCUCACUGGUCGAGUGACCCCGCGCCGAAAAUGUACCGGGGCUAAACAUAUUACCGAAACUGUGGAUGAACCUCUUUAGAGGUUCGUGGUAGGAGAGCGUUCUAAGGGCGGUGAAGUCAGACCGGAAGGACUGGUGGAGCGCUUAGAAGUGAGAAUGCCGGUAUGAGUAGCGAAAGAAGGGUGAGAAUCCCUUCCACCGAAUAUCUAAGGUUUCCUGAGGAAGGCUCGUCCGCUCA
rnacentral:rRNA from 1 species